AGCAGCAGCCACGGUAAUCCGAAGGGGGCUAGCGUUGUUCGGAAUUACUGGGCGUAAAGGGCGCGUAGGCGGCCAUUCAAGUUAGAUGUGAAAGCCCUGGGCUCAACCUAGGAAUUGCAUUUGAUACUGUUUGGCUUGAGUUCGGGAGAGGUGAGUGGAAUUCUCAGUGUAGAGGUGAAAUGCGUAGAUAUCGGAAGGAACACCUGUGGCGAAAGCGGCUCACUGGACAAUAACUGACGCUGAUGCACGAAAGCUAGGGGAGCAAACAGGAUUAGAUACCCCCGUAGUCCCUGUCUCUUAUAA
rnacentral:rRNA from 1 species